CCUACGGGAGUCAGCAGUGAGGAAUAUUGGUCAAUGGACGAGAGUCUGAACCAGCCAAGUAGCGUGAAGGAUGACUGCCCUAUGGGUUGUAAACUUCUUUUAUAUGGGAAUAAAACGUUCCACGUGUGGGAUUUUGUAUGUACCAUAUGAAUAAGGAUCGGCUAACUCCGUGCCAGCAGCCGCGGUAAUACGGAGGAUCCGAGCGUUAUCCGGAUUUAUUGGGUUUAAAGGGAGCGUAGGUGGAUUGUUAAGUCAGUUGUGAAAGUUUGCGGCUCAACCGUAAAAUUGCAGUUGAAACUGGCAGUCUUGAGUACAGUAGAGGUCGGCGGAAUUCGUGGUGUAGCGGUGAAAUGCUUAGAUAUCACGAAGAACUCCGAUUGCGAAGGCAGUUCACUGGACUGCAACUGACACUGAGGCUCGAAAGUGUAGGUAUCAAACAGGAUUAGAUACCCUAGUAGUC
rnacentral:rRNA from 1 species